rnacentral:RNase_P_RNA from 1 species
UGAGUAGGACAAAUGUUCGCGGCUUGCCGGAGUCUACGGAUUCCCGGUGAGGUGAGGAAAGUCCGGGCUUCACAGGGCAGGAUGCCGGAUAACGUCCGGUGGAGGCGACUCCAAGGCUAGUGCAACAGAAAUAUACCGCCAGCUUCUGCUGGUAAGGGUGGAAGGGUGGCUUAAGAGACCACCGCCCGCAAGGUAACUUACGGGGCAUAUGUAAACCCCAUCCGAAGCAAGACCAAAACGAAACAUAUGGCGGCCCGUCAGUUUCAGGUAGGUCGCUCGAGCCUGCUGGUAACAGCAGGACUAGAUAGAUGAACAUUCAACGACAUAACCCGGCUUAUCGUCCUGCUCAUUUU